AUUGAACGCUAGCGGGAUGCUUUACACAUGCAAGUCGAACGAGUGGCGGACGGGUGAGUAAUAUAUCGGAACGUGCCCAGUAGCGGGGGAUAACUCCUCGAAAGAGUGGCUAAUAACGCAUACUAUUGGAGCGGCCGAUAUCGGAUUAGCUAGUUGGUGGGGUAAAGGCUCACCAAGGCCACGAUCCUUAGCUGGUUUGAGAGGACGACCAGCAACACGGGGACUUAGAAAGGGCCCAGCGUCCUCCGGGAGGCAGCAGGGGGGAAUGUUGGACAAGGGGUGAAACCCUGAUCCAGCCAUCCCGCGUGUAUGAGAAGGCCUUCGGGUUGGAAAGUACUUUUGGCAGGGAAGCGUUAUCUGCAGAAUAAGCACCGGCUAACUACGUGCCAGCAGCCGCGGUAAUUC
rnacentral:rRNA from 1 species